AGGUGGGGAAGGAAUUUUAACACCAGAUCUUCCUGAAUGAGGGAUCCUUCACUUCUGGAGAUGGGAGCUCAGAAUAGGGGGAAGGUGGCUUCAGAAUCAGAGAGACCUGUGUUCACAACAGGAUCUACUCCAUGAAGUUACCGUGACAAGGACGUGAGAUAAUGUCUAUAAAGUGCCUGUGAGUGUGGUUCCUGGUGCAUACUAGGUCUCAGUCAAAGCUAGUGAUGGUGAUGAUGCUGAUGGCAACAAUGAAACAAUUGUUCUUAGGUU